GGUCAGUCCCUGCGUCUGGGGCCGACCAUGGUGGAAGGAUACAAGGUGAAGCAUUCCGGUGGAUGCGCAGUCGUCUGAAAGUAGUGGGGUAUAAUCAACUAAUCAGAUUUCACCUAUUCUGCAAAUGCACUAGUGCAGCUGAGUGCAGCAGUGCAGCGAAAAAGAACAGAUCAAAGAUCCGGAUUUGCGAUCAAAAUGGUUGGAAGCUUGUAAGAAAGAUAAAGAAUACAAGAAUAAAAAUGGUAAUUAAAUUAUGUUUUUAACAUAAUUUUAACAUAUUAUAUAUCACUCGGAUAUAACCUAUAUUCCUCUUUAUACAAUAAUUUUCAUUAAAAUUACUUCCAGAAAGAAUGCGAGAUACAUUUUAAGUCAAACUGCAUCGAAGAACAAAUCACUAAACCACGUUCGAAAGGUACUGAACCACGUGUUAUACGUCGACUUAAAAAAGGAUCGAUACCAACAGAAUUUCUUAAUUAACCGAACGAAAGACACAAGCGGUUAUAUUCAUUCGACAAAUUUUACAACAAUGAUGAACCUUCACAGAAAUCAGUUUGUACCGGAAUACCAACUUAUGAACAACUUGUUGAACCUACUACAAUAUCGGAGAUUACCAUUAAUUCCUGUGCUGUAAAUGCAACUACAACGGAAGAGCAUGCACCAA